rnacentral:misc_RNA from 1 species
AUGAAGAACGUAGCGAAAUGCGAUACGUAAUGUGAAUUGCAGAUUUCAGUGAAUCAUCGAAUCUUUGAACGCACAUUGCGCCCGCCAGUAUUCUGGCGGGCAUGCCUGUUCGAGCGUCAUUUCAACCAUCAAGCCUUCGCUUGUGUUGGGGCCCCGCGGCUGCCGCGGUCCCCUAAAUCCAGUGGCGGGCUCGUCGUCGUACCGAGCGCAGUAGACAUCCUCGCUCCGGGAACCCGACGGGUGCCGGCCGUGAAACCCCCCACAUCAAGGUUGACCUCGGAUCAGGUAGGAAUACCCGCUGAACUUAAGCAUAUCAAUAAGCGGAGGA